UGGUAUCGAACAAUCCAGAUUGUUAUUCAAAAUGGCUAUACUACGAAAAGACAGUGUCUUAUUGAGCGAUUGGAAGGACAUUUCGUUAUCUCCAAUGGAUUACACUGAAGAAAUUGGCACUUAUCGAAUCCUUUCAUCGGACAAACAACAAACAGAUCAUUGGAACUCGGAUCAAACCACGGGGAUGGCAUCGCUGUCAGCUACCAUACAUUUGACGCGUUACCAACAUCACUGGCACUGGCACCCGAAAAAUGGUCAGUUCACCCUUUUCUUAUGUCGAUUCGGGCAAACCGGUUAAAUGUUGACUGCAAUUAUUGAUAGCAUAUCAGACAGUUUUGAGCAAUUUCUCAAGGUUUUUACAUGGUAUGUGAUAUUUUAAGUGAUAUUUAGUUUAUUAGUUGUGCCCCAAAACAAAGUGAAGCAAACUGUGACAGCAGAGAAAGUAGUUUUGGGAUAAACGGUACAGAAAUAGAUGUUAGUAACGCUUGAAGGCUACCAUACCAUUCCCUUGGAUCAAACGGCCAACGUUGAACCGGUAAUUUCUUUAUUAUUAAUCAUUUGUCAGGAAGUUGGUAGUAAAAUCGCUCGAAAGUUGUGACCGCCGCUGACCGACGUAGUUCAUUUUUGCUUUGAUUUAUAGGAUUGCCGUUUAACAGUCAACAACCAAUCUAGUACAAAUUUGUCAAAAUAAAUAUUGUUUUUAUAAUAAAUUCUUGUAUCUUUCAUGAACAAACACUUCGAUUUGUUUUCAUGUGCAAAUUUAUAACACUCCCAUAUAAUCUGAAAAUGUGAGAUUAUUUCACUCAUCUGCGGUAGCUUAACGGAGCAGUGUUUACAAUCAAUUUUGCUUUUAAAAAGAACAAACUUUGUUAGUGAGAGUGAUCGUUACGCCCGAUUUACUGGGGUUAGUAUGUAUACAAUUUUUCUGGUGAGGGAUAUUUGGGUUGGGAGUUGAGUUUGUUUAUAACUUAAUUAUUGUUAUCGACUGAUAUCUUAUUGCUAGUAACUAUUAUUUCUUUUAAUAUUAUUGCUACUAGUAUUGCUAGCUAGUAAACUAUUAUUUCUUUUAUUAUUAUUGCACUGCGUAUUCCGUUUGUUUGAAUCUGGAAAUUUUUCCUCUACGGGUACCGCUAAAGUCGAAUCAGGUUGUCGUUUUUGUGUCUUCAGUAUGAGAAAGCUGUAAAGCUCUGACAUAUACUGGAAAUCUCCGCUUGCCAGGAUGUCUCUAACGGGAACGUUUAGCUGUCUUCCUCGGGCCCGAAGGGAAUCUGUUAGCUUGGACCUAACAUCACAGAAUUCGGAACACGACCAAACAACAUGCUCAAUGUCGUGGUAGCCAUCACCACAAACACAGUGAUUACUGUCUACAAGCCCUAUACGAAAGAGAUGCGUGUUUAACGUGUAGUGAUUGGACAUAAGUCUGGACAUCACGCGAAUGAAGUCGCGACCUACAUCCAACCCCUUGAACCAUGCUU